GACGAACGCUGGCGGCGUGCCUAAUACAUGCAAGUCGAACGCAGUGGGGACGGGUGAGUAACACGUGGGUAACCUCCCAUCAGAGGGGAUAACACUUGGAAACAGGUGCUAAACCGAUACUGAUGGAUGGACCCGCGGUGCGUUAGCUAGUUGGUGAGGUAACGGCUCACCAGGGCCACGAUGCAUAGCCGACCUGAGAGGGGGAUCGGCCACACUGGGACUGAGACACGGCCCAGACUCCUACGGGAUGCAGUAGUAGGGAAUGUUGGAAAAUGGCGGAAACCCUCACCCAGCCAGCACGAGUGUAGAAUGAGGGCAUUCGGGUUGUAAAGUACUUUUGGCAGAGAAGCGGGAUCUGCAGAAUAAGCCACGGCUAACUACGUGCCAGCCGCCGCGGUAAUUC
rnacentral:rRNA from 1 species